rnacentral:lncRNA from 1 species
CCAAAAUAGAGUUAAUUUCUUGAUAUUAGAUGAUUAUUUCUCAUUACAAGAUGAACAUAUAUAUAGGGAAAGAAAGAAGACAUAGGACCUAACUUUGCCUAACUUGCCUAACUUGCCUAACUUACCUAACUUGCCUAAUUUACAUAAAGAAAGUUGACUAGCCUAACUUCACUAGCCAUCUAAUACUCAUGGCUGCUUUUAGUUGACACUCCCCCUCAAGUUGGUGCGUAAAUAUCUCGAAUGCCCAACUUGCUGAGUGAAAGAUGGAAAAUCCUACUUGACACUGCCUUUGUUAAAAUAUCUGCUAUCUGGUCAUCACUCUUCACAUAAGGCAAGUUAAUGGUACCAUCAACCAACCUUUCCUUGAUAAAGUGCCUAUCCACUUCAACAUGUUUAGUACGAUCAUGUUGAACUGGAUUAUGAGCAAUGCUAAUGGCAGCUUUGUUAUCACAAUAAAGUUUUGAUGGCUUUGCAGAAUUAAAACCUAAUUCUCUCAACAAAGUCCUGAGCCAUAACAAUUCUUGCACACCAUGUGCCAUACCUCUAAAUUCAGCUUCGGCACUGGAUCUAGCCACUACAUGUUGCUUCUUACUGCGCCAAGUAACUAGAUUUCCUCCAACAAAUGUAAAGUAUCCAGAAGUCGAUCUGCGAUCAGUUACUGACCCAGCCCAAUCUGCAUCAGUGUACCCUUCAACUUCUUGAUGUCCAUGAUUGGAAAACAUCAAGCCUUUUCCAGGGGCAGACUUCAAAUACCUGAGAAUGCGUUGUACAGCAUCCAUGUGGGCUUCACUUGGCCUGUGCAUAAAUUGACUCACUACACUUACAGCAUAGGCUAUGUCAGAUCGUGUAUGAGACAAAUAAAUCAACCUCCCAACUAAUCUUUGGUACCUUUCCUUGUUAGCCGGAACUUGAUCAUGAUAGUCUCCCAAUCUAUGGUUUUGCUCAAUUGGUGUGUCUGCAGGUUUACAAGCUAACAUCCCAGUCUCAGUUAAUAAGUCUAUAACAUAUUUCUUUUGAGAAAGAAAAAUGCCAUGCUUUGAUCUUGCAACUUCAAUACCCAAGAAAUAUUUCAGAGUACCCAAGUCCUUCAUUUCAAAUUCCUUGGCUAGAUACUUUUUGAAGUUUUUGAAUUUCCUCGACAUCAUUACCUGUAACCACCAUAUCAUCCACAUAAACAAUUAAGGCUGUAAGUUUACCUCUAUCAUGCUUAAGAAAUAAGGUAUGGUCAGCUUGAGUUUGCUUGAACCCAUAACUUCUCAUUGAUUGAGCGAACCUGCCAAACCAUGCCCUUGGUGAUUGUUUCAAUCCAUACAAGGACUUUCUUAACCUGCAUACUUUGCCAAUAUCGCAAGUGGUAGUGAAUCCUGGAGGAAGAUCCAUGUAUACCUCUUCAUCCAAGUCUCCAUGUAAAAAUGCAUUUUUUACAUCAAACUGUCGUAGAGGCCACCCUAGAUUUGCUGCCAAUGACAUAAGAACCCUGAUAGUGUUGAUCUUUGCUACCGGAGCAAAUGUCUCCUGAUAAUCAAUGCCAUAGGUUUGAGUAUAACCUUUGGCUACCAGUCUAGCCUUGUACCUCUCCACUGAACCAUCAGCUUUAUGCUUCACUGUGAACACCCAUCUACACCCAACAGGUUUCUUGCCUUCAGGAAGUGCAACCAGUUCCCAAGUGGAGUUUUUUCGAAGCGCUUCCAUCUCUUCAAUCAUAGCCUUUUUCCAUUUUGGAUCUUUAAGAGCAUCCUGUAACUUAUUAGGAACUGAGACUGAUGACAAUUGGUUUGCAAAAGAUAUAUAAGAGUCUGACAAGCGAUGAGAUGAAACAAAAUUAGAUAUAGGAUAUUGAAUACCCUUUGUAGAAGACUGACCAUGACGAACAUGGGGUAUCCCUCGAUUUUCUCGAAUAGGAUAACGAGAACCCUGAGACUCACGAUGUGGUUCAUUUGAAUCAUUUGGAUCAUCACUUAAUGAAAUCUCAUGAUUGGACUCAUCAAAUAUAGUAGGCUGAAGAGAGGGAGAAUGAGUGGUUACCUCAGGAUAAUUCGUACGAGUAGCAGCUGAUUGGUCAGAGAGUUGGUCUAUGUGGGGAGGGUGGUCUAUCUCAUCAUCCCUUUUUUCUUUAUCUCCCUUUUUUCUUGUCCUCUCAUACACCUUCAAUAUUUUUUCACCUUGUGCCUCAUCAUUAGGCAAAUUUGCACCAUCACCGACAUCAGACAAGUGUUCAUCACCAAUGUCAAGCGGCAACUUCUCUUCCUCCUUACUCCAUAUCUCCCCCUGAAGAGAAGUGGCCAAAUCUUCUUUUGAAAAAAAUGCCUCGUGUUCCCGAAAGGUAACAUCCAUAGAGACAAAAAAUUUCCCAGUUGGAGGAUAGUAACAUCGAUACCCUUUCUAAGUAGCAGAAUAGCCAAUAAACACACAUUUGAUGGCUCUAGGAUCCAACUUAUCCCGAUUUUGCAUGGGGACGUGAACGUAGCAGACACAACCAAACACUUUUGGAGGAAUAUGAAGGAGUGAAGGAAGAGAAUGAUAUUGGGAAAGGGUUUGGAUAGGUGUUUGAAAUUGGAGAACAUGUGAUGGCAUGCGAUUGAUAAGAAAAACAGCUGUGUGAAUGACAUCGCCCCAAAAACGUUUAGGAACGUGCAUAGCAGAACAUAAAGAGCGAGCCACAUCCAAGAGAUGACGAUUUUUACGUUCUGCUAUACCGUUCUGUUGAGGAGUAUGUGGACAAGAUGUUUGAUGAAUGAUACCGUGUUGUUGAAAAAAUGUUCCAAGUCCAUAAUUCAAAUAUUCUUUCCCAUUAUCAGAUCGAACGACUUGAAUUUUAGCAUGAAAUUGGGUUUGAAUCAUUUGAUGAAAGAUUGGGAAAAUAGACAUAACCUCACUCUUGUUUUUUAGUAAGUAUACCCAAGAAACUCGAGUGCAGUCAUCAAUGAAAGAAACAAAGUAUUUAGCACCAGUAUAAGUAGGAAUAUGAAAUGGUCCCCAAACAUCAGAAUGAAUAAGAGAGAAAUGAACAUUACUUUUAUGGGAACUUAAAGGAAAUGAGACACGAUGAUUUUUAGAAAGAAUGCAAGUUUCACAAUGGAAAUCAGAAACCUUGACUUUAGAAAAUAAAGAAGGGAAUAGAUAUUGCAGGUACUGAAAGGAAGGGUGUCCCAAUCUUUUGUGCCAUAACCAAAUUUUUUCAGAAGCUUCAAAUUGUUUGGCCUCCACUUGACAACUGUAACUUGUCUUCUCACAAUCUGGUGGUAAGUCCAAGUAGUAUAGACCUCCCCUCUCUCUACCAUGACCAAUCAAUGCUUUCGUUCGAAUAUCCUGAAACCAACAGUGGGUAGGAGAAAAGAUGGCAAGACAGUUUAGUUGAUUUGUAAGUUUACCAAUGGAAAACAAAUUGUGAGAAAGUUUAGGAACAUGUAAAACAGAUGAGAGAGAUAAGCCUGGUGUUAAUGAGAUGGAGCCUGCUCCAAGCACUGGAGUAGAAAUACCAUUAGCAACUUUAACGGUAUUUAAAGGUGGAGUAGUGUGAGAAACAAACCAUGUAGAGUUAUUGGUCAUGUGGUCAGAAGCCCCUGAAUCAAUGAUCCAAGGUUUAUUGGGAGGAACAAUUGUAGUGUUCAAGGCAAAACCAAAGUUACCUGCAUCGACUAAGGAAGUAGAAGCAGUAGUUGGAGAAACUAAGUGAGCAGAUUGAUCCACCCGAGGUAUGGAAGGCGUUGGUGUCAGGUGUGCUUAUGAUCCACCAAUGACUUUCUUUUGAUUUUCCUUCUUUUGAACCCACCAAUCAGGAUAUCCAUGCAGCUUGAAACAAGUGUCUCUAGUAUGCUUAUCCUUGUCACAAUAAGUACACUUCCUUGUAUCAGUAGUUUUGGAUCCACCUAAUCGAGAAUUGGAGACUCCACGGGGAAAUCGAGACAGAUCAGCUACUAUGGCGGAUCCCUCCACUUGUGGGCCAACCAACAUAAUGGUUUGCCUACUUGCUUCAGCAUUCACAAGAGCAUAAGCAGCACGAACAGAAGGCAGAGUUGUUUGAGUCAAAACUUGACUGCGAACAUGAUCUAAAUGAGGGUCAAGACCAGCCAGAAAAUCAUACAAUCUUUCUUCCGAAAUUUCUGUCUCUCGGGUAGCAAUAUCAUUAGCGCACUUCAAUUUUCCAGGACGCAAGAAAUCAAUUUCUUGCCAUAUUUGCUGAAGUUUACCAUAAUAUGCAGAUAAAGGUUCUCCAUUCUGGCGAGUCGCCAGUGCUUGACGGCGAAGUUCGUAUAACUUUGAUGCAUCUUUUUCAAUUGAGUAAGUUUGGGUAACAGCAUCCCAAACAUCUUUUGCAGUAGAGAGUCGGAGAAAAAUGGCCCGUACAUCUCUGGUCAUGGAGUUGAGUAACCAAGAUUGAACCAUGACAUUCUCUUCCUCCCAUAUAGCAUACAAUGCAUCAGCUUCUGCUGGUGCCAUUUUUGUUCCACUGACAUAAGACCAUUUACCUCUGCCAGUGAUGUAGAUGAGGACACUUUGGGACCAUGAGGAAUAGUUGGACCCAUCCAACUUGUCUGGGGUGAUAUGUAGAGACAUAUCACUUUGAGUAACAGUAGCUGAAACAGUGGUCUUGGAGUCACCCAUUAUUACUGCCUCAGAGGUUAUGGGUAAAUUUGUUGGGUGAUUCCAACGGGUAUGGUUUAUGGGGUAUUGGGUAGUAUAUUUUUCCAACGGGUAUGGCUUAUGGGGUAUUGGGUAGUAUAUUUUUUUGUGGAAAGAUUUCUGGGUUUUGCAGAGAUACUGCAAAUGGGAAGAAUAUGGGAAAAGAUGCAGCGGAAUAUGUAUGGUUAACAAGCUGGAUAUGGGUAAUAAUGUUGGUAGAUAUGGCCAAAUGAAAAAAGAGUAAGAUUGGGUUGGUAUGAAAGUAGAAGACCUGCAGAAUAGCAGGUCUUAUUGGGUAGAUGGCAGUAGUGCCAGUAAGUGAAUAAGAAUAGAAACUCUGUUUGGAUCAGAAUGGCUCUGAUACCAUGCCAAAAUAGAGUUAAUUUCUUGAUAUUAGAUGAUUAUUUCUCAUUACAAGAUGAACAUAUAUAUAGGGAAAGAAAGAAGACAUAGGACCUAACUUUGCCUAACUUGCCUAACUUGCCUAACUUACCUAACUUGCCUAAUUUACAUAAAGAAAGUUGACUAGCCUAACUUCACUAGCCAUCCAAUACUCAUGGCUGCUUUUAGUUGACAGUU